rnacentral:rRNA from 1 species
UACAGAGGGUGCAAGCGUUGUUCAGAAUUAUUGGGCGUAAAGGGAGUGUAGGCGGUUUGGUAAGUCUUCUGUGAAAUCUACGGGCUUAGCCUGUAACGUGCAGAGGAAACUACCGAGCUUGAGUGUCGGAGAGGAUAGGGGAAUACCCAGUGUAGAGGUGAAAUUCGUAGAGAUUGGGUGGAACACCAGUGGCGAAGGCGCCUAUCUGGCUGACAACUGACGCUGAGACUCGAAAGCAUGGGGAGCAAACAGG